GACGAACGCUGGCGGCGUGCUUAACACAUGCAAGUCGAACGGGAUCCAAAGGCUUUUUGUUUUUGGUGAGAGUGGCGAACGGGUGAGUAACACGUGAGUAACCUGCCCCCUUCUUUUGGAUAACCGCAUGAAAGUGUGGCUAAUACAGGAUAUUCCAGGCUGGUCGCAUGAUUGGUUUGGGAAAUGGUUUGGUCUGGUGGGGGAUGGGCUCGCGGCCUAUCAGCUUGUUGGUGGGGUGAUGGCCUACCAAGGCGGUGACGGGUAGCCGGCCUGAGAGGGUGGGCGGUCACACUGGGACUGAGAUACGGCCCAGACUCCUACGGGAGGCAGCAGUGGGGGAUUUUGCACAAUGGGCGCAAGCCUGAUGCAGCGACGCCGCGUGAGGGAUGAAGGCCUUCGGGUUGUAAACCUCUUUCGCUGGGUUGAAAGGCCAUGCUUUGGGUGUGGUGGAUUUGAACUGGGAAAGAAGUACCGGCUAACUACGU
rnacentral:rRNA from 1 species